UACGGAGGGGGCUAGCGUUGUUCGGAAUUACUGGGCGUAAAGCGCGCGUAGGCGGCCGAUCAAGUUGGGCGUGAAAGCCCGGGGCUCAACCCCGGAACCGCGCCUGAAACUGGUUGGCUGGAGUCCGGGAGAGAGUGGUGGAAUUCCCAGUGUAGAGGUGAAAUUCGUAGAUAUUGGGAAGAACACCGGUGGCGAAGGCGGCCACCUGGCCCGGCACUGACGCUGAGGCGCGAAAGCGUGGGGAGCAAACAGG
rnacentral:misc_RNA from 1 species